UUUGGAGAGGUAAACGAGCGAACAAGAAUGGAGGGUAGGCGAGUGAGAAUGUUCAAUAUGGGAAGAGCAAGAGGACAACACCCACAAACUCAGACCCAUCACAGUCUUCUACCCAUUCACUCCCAUUCAAACCCAUCAUCUCCUUCUCGUCUUUCAACCACCAUCUCUUGUUGCUACUGCGAUUUCAAGUUCUGGGCUUUCAACCAACCCCUCUUCCAUUUCGGGAGAAGCCACUCCCAAAUUCUCAGGGCAUGGUUCUCCAUUGGGGUCGGCUUUGGUCUAACCCUGCUCUUCUCCAUUUCUCUCAUCCUUAUCUGGGAACUCGGCAGAGCUCUCAAUCUCUUCCAUGGAAGCUUCUUCAUUAACUUGUUCUCUAGAUUUUCCUCCUCCUUCAGCACCUCAAUCGCCGACGUUGCCUGUAUCUUCAUUGCCACAAUGGUUUCAGUUUCUGUUCAUGAACUGGGUCAUGCUCUCGCUGCUGCAAGUGAGUGCGUGCAAAUGGAGUAUGUUGCCGUGUUUGUUGCGUUUCUGUUUCCUGGUGCGCUGGUAGCUUUCGAUUCUGAGUCUCUGCAACCAUUGUCUUGUUUUGCUGCUCUUCGGAUUUAUUGUGCUGGAAUUUGGCACAACGCAGUGUGCUGUGCAGUUUGUGGGCUGGCAUUACUUCUCCUGCCCUUCAUCUUGUUUCCAUUCUACAUACAUGGUGAAAGUCCCAUGGUUUUGGGUGUACCAUCUACGUCGCCUUUGUCCGGUUACUUGUCUCCUGGCGAUGUAAUUGUGUCAGUUGAUGGUGUGCCCAUCCAUAAUGUCCAGGAAUGGAUGGAGAUGACAGCUCUGAUAAAUGAAUUGGCACUUAGAGGUAGAAACCAUUCCCUAGAUGUCCAAGGCUUUGGAAUCAAUAGAAUAAAGGGGUACUGUGUGCCUAACUCUAUGAUGGAGGAAAGUAAGCAGAUUGUUAUAGGAGAUAACCAGUCUUCUUGUCCUGAUGAUCUUACUGCAUUUACACCUCUUCCCUGUGAUCAUACAAGCAUAUUAGAUCAUAAUCAUCCAAGCAGAAUUGAGAAAACCCACUGCUUGAAUGCGAAGAAUGUUGUCAAGCUUAAUAAAUGUGGUGAAGGAUGGGCGGCAAUAACCAAUGGCAGCAACUGCAUAUGUUCACAGGAGGAGUCCUGCUUAAGUCCAGUUCAAAUUCCAGGCUUAAUAUGGGUUGAGAUCACCUAUUCAAGGCCCUAUUAUCUGGAAUGCUUGCGAGUUAGAAGAAAAUCUUUUGUGGGUCCAAGAAUUUCUGAUUCCAUGGAAUCUAACUGCGGUGGGACUUUUGUCUUUGUUGGUGAUGUUAUCUCCAUGGCACGCUCAGUUAAGUUAACUGCAUAUCAACCUCGCUGGGCAUUUCCAUUGGGUACAUAUCUUCCAAAUGUACUAGAAAGGAUUUUGAUAUGCACAUUCCAAGUCUCUCUAACACUAGCUCUUCUCAACAGUUUGCCGGUGUACUUUCUGGAUGGAGAAUCAAUUUUAGAGGCGACUCUUUCCCACUUCGCUUUGCUGUGCCCAAGGAAGAGAAGGAAAGUUCUUCAAGUUUGCCUUUUAUGGGGGACACUCAUUUCCAUCCUCGCCUUCUUCAGGAUCAUGUUACAUACUUUGUAAGCGAAAGGGGCAAUUUAUGCUCUUUCGUCUGAGGCUCCUCAGGAUUUGAAACAGAUAUUAGAUUCUUUCAAGGACUUUUCUAAUGGAUGCUGCAGUGGGCUUGCAAUUCUGAUUGGGUCAGUGUCAUAUGUCAUAUGCAUUCUUGCGCUAACACAUUUUUGGGGGGACUUGCACCAAGUAUACUUCAGCUUUGAAUUGACCUUUGCUCCUAGACAAAGCAGCCUCACUACGAAGCUCACUGUUUAGCAGGUAUUGUGCAUUAUUGUUGUACAACGUAAAACACUUUUUAUCCGACGUCACUCGCUCUUUAGAGUCAUUACCUAGAAAGCAGUGGUAUUACAGCUGAGCUUCAGAAUAUGAGAAGCAGUGUUAUCGAAGCUGACCUUGCAGUAUGAAUAGGGAGGAGCGUCAAACCAUCAGCUGCCUCGGUAUUCCACUACCAGAAACUAUAGUUACACAACCUAAGUUUAACCUUGUUGACAUAGAAAUCCAUAAAUUAUCUAGUGUGAAAGAUAGGGGUACUCAGAGAAUUUUACUUGUUUAACCUCCUUGGGGGUUCCUCCAUAGAAUGAGAAAUACUUGGUACUUUUUCCAUUUUAUCUGAGAACAACCCAGUUUGUAGCUUACGUUCAAUAUGCGUUCACAGAUUUUGUAAAACAAAGUAUUGAGCUUUUGUUUUUUUGGUUCUGGAACAGUUACUAGAAUGAAGAACCCUGAACUUGAACAAUA